ensembl:lncRNA LINC02362 long intergenic non-protein coding RNA 2362
GAGCCCAUGGCAUUCAAAUUUCUGUGCCCUUCUCUCCUCUCCUUGGUUCUCUCCCAUGUUUUGUCAAACUUCCCACACCCAGCUCCUUAACCAAAGGGACUGGCUAGGUCAGGCAGAGGUUGAGUCAAGAGUGCUCAGGUGUCCCAGGAUGACUGUCAAGAGUGGUGGCAGCUCUCCUAUGUCUCAGCCCCCCAGGAGCACCUCAGCCCUGCAACGGCAUCAAACUGGGUGGCACACACUAGUAUGGAGCCAGAAAUCAGUCAGUGGGAAUAUGAUGCACCCAAUUUUACAGUGACUGUGUCCUGAAACUCCCUGUCCUUUGUUCUUUCAACAAAUAUAGAUUGAGCAGCCAUUAUAUAUCAGGCACUAUAGGAGUUCCUGGAGGAUACUGGUCUGAAGUUAGCAUGAUCUUGACUCAAGAAACUUAUAGUCCUGAUAAGAACUUCCACCAGAAUUCCAGAUAAGGCAGCACAGGCCUUGCUGUUUGCCCAUGCCCAUGCGGUCAGCUCUCUUGGGUACCGUGGCAUGCAGAUGCAGACACUCACCCAAGACACCCUGUAGUGCUGAUUACUGGCUGAAGACACUGAAUAUCUGAUAUAGUUUGGAUGUUUGACCCCUCCAAAUCUCAUGUUGAAACUAGAUUCCCAGUGUUGGAGGUGGGGCCCGGUGGGAGGUGUUUGGAUUGUGGGAUUGGAUCCCUUAUGGCCAUCUUGGUGCCAUCCUUGUGGUAAUGAGCAAGUUCUUUAUCUACUAGUUCCUGAGCGAUCUGGUUGCUAAAAAGAGUCUAGCAGCAUCAUCCGCUCCCUCUCCUCCUCUCUUACCAUGUGAUAUGCACACACCGGCUACCCUUCACCUACUGCUCCAGCACCACGCUUCAUGUACAGCCUGUAGAACUCUGAGCCAAAUAAACCUCUUUUCUUUAUAAA